rnacentral:rRNA from 1 species
GGUCAAGUGAAGAAGCGCAUACGGUGGAUGCCUUGGCAGUCAGAGGCGAUGAAAGACGUGGUAGCCUGCGAAAAGCUUCGGGGAGUCGGCAAACAGACUUUGAUCCGGAGAUCUCUGAAUGGGGGAACCCACCUAGGAUAACCUAGGUAUCUUGUACUGAAUCCAUAGGUGCAAGAGGCGAACCAGGGGAACUGAAACAUCUAAGUACCCUGAGGAAAAGAAAUCAACCGAGAUUCCCUUAGUAGUGGCGAGCGAACGGGGAUUAGCCCUUAAGCUUCAUUGAUUUUAGCGGAACGCUCUGGAAAGUGCGGCCAUAGUGGGUGAUAGCCCCGUACGCGAAAGGAUCUUUGAAGUGAAAUCGAGUAGGACGGAGCACGAGAAACUUUGUCUGAACAUGGGGGGACCAUCCUCCAAGGCUAAAUACUACUGACUGACCGAUAGUGAACCAGUACCGUGAGGGAAAGGCGAAAAGAACCCCGGAGAGGGGAGUGAAAUAGAACCUGAAACCGUAUGCGUACAAGCAGUGGGAGCCUACUUGUUAGGUGACUGCGUACCUUUUGUAUAAUGGGUCAGCGACUUAUAUUCAGUGGCAAGCUUAACCGUAUAGGGUAGGCGUAGCGAAAGCGAGUCUUAAUAGGGCGUUUAGUCGCUGGGUAUAGACCCGAAACCGGGCGAUCUAUCCAUGAGCAGGUUGAAGGUUAGGUAACACUGACUGGAGGACCGAACCCACUCCCGUUGAAAAGGUAGGGGAUGACUUGUGGAUCGGAGUGAAAGGCUAAUCAAGCUCGGAGAUAGCUGGUUCUCCUCGAAAGCUAUUUAGGUAGCGCCUCAUGUAUCACUCUGGGGGGUAGAGCACUGUUUCGGCUAGGGGGUCAUCCCGACUUACCAAACCGAUGCAAACUCCGAAUACCCAGAAGUGCCGAGCAUGGGAGACACACGGCGGGUGCUAACGUCCGUCGUGAAAAGGGAAACAACCCAGACCGCCAGCUAAGGUCCCAAAGUUGUGGUUAAGUGGUAAACGAUGUGGGAAGGCUUAGACAGCUAGGAGGUUGGCUUAGAAGCAGCCACCCUUUAAAGAAAGCGUAAUAGCUCACUAGUCGAGUCGGCCUGCGCGGAAGAUGUAACGGGGCUCAAACCACACACCGAAGCUGCGGGUGUCACGUAAGUGACGCGGUAGAGGAGCGUUCUGUAAGCCUGUGAAGGUGAGUUGAGAAGCUUGCUGGAGGUAUCAGAAGUGCGAAUGCUGACAUGAGUAACGACAAUGGGUGUGAAAAACACCCACGCCGAAAGACCAAGGGUUCCUGCGCAACGUUAAUCGACGCAGGGUUAGUCGGUUCCUAAGGCGAGGCUGAAAAGCGUAGUCGAUGGGAAACAGGUUAAUAUUCCUGUACUUCUGGUUACUGCGAUGGAGGGACGGAGAAGGCUAGGCCAGCUUGGCGUUGGUUGUCCAAGUUUAAGGUGGUAGGCUGAAAUCUUAGGUAAAUCCGGGGUUUCAAGGCCGAGAGCUGAUGACGAGUCGUCUUUUAGAUGACGAAGUGGUUGAUGCCAUGCUUCCAAGAAAAGCUUCUAAGCUUCAGGUAACCAGGAACCGUACCCCAAACCGACACAGGUGGUCGGGUAGAGAAUACCAAGGCGCUUGAGAGAACUCGGGUGAAGGAACUAGGCAAAAUGGCACCGUAACUUCGGGAGAAGGUGCGCCGGCUAGGGUGAAGGAUUUACUCCGUAAGCUCUGGCUGGUCGAAGAUACCAGGCCGCUGCGACUGUUUAUUAAAAACACAGCACUCUGCAAACACGAAAGUGGACGUAUAGGGUGUGACGCCUGCCCGGUGCCGGAAGGUUAAUUGAUGGGGUUAGCGCAAGCGAAGCUCUUGAUCGAAGCCCCGGUAAACGGCGGCCGUAACUAUAACGGUCCUAAGGUAGCGAAAUUCCUUGUCGGGUAAGUUCCGACCUGCACGAAUGGCGUAA